CCUAUGGGCGGCUGCAGUGGGGAAUAUUGGGCAAUGGAGGCAACUCUGACCCAGCAACGCCGCGUGAAGGAAGAAGGCCUUAGGGUUGUAAACUUAUGUUGUAAAGGAAGAAAAGAAUGACGGUACUUUACAAGAAAGCCCCGGCUAACUAUGUGCCAGCAGCCGCGGUAAGACAUAGGGGGCAAGCGUUGUUCGGAAUUACUGGGCGUAAAGGGAGCGUAGGCGGGAGAUUAAGUUAAGAUUGAAAGCCUUGGGCUCAACCCAAGAAAUGCUCUUAAUACUGGUUUUCUAGAGUGUGGGAGAGGUAAGUGGAAUUCCUAGUGUAGCGGUGAAAUGCAUAGAUAUCACGAAGAACUCCGAUUGCGAAGGCAGCAUACCGGCGCCCAACUGACGCUGAAGCACGAAAGCGUGGGUAUCGAACAGGAUUAGAUACCCGGGUAGUC
rnacentral:rRNA from 1 species